AAUCAACGCUGGCGGCGUGCCUAACACAUGCAAGUCGAGCGCGAAAGGGGAGCAAUCCCCGAGUAGAGCGGCGAACGGGUGAGUAACGCGUGGGUAAUCUACCUCCGAGUGGGGAAUAACAGCGGGAAACUGCUGCUAAUACCGCAUGACAUCGUCGGGUCGAUGGAUCUGACGAUCAAAGCCGGGGACCGCAAGGCCUGGCGCUUGGAGAGGAGCCCGCGUCCGAUUAGCUAGUUGGCGGGGUAACGGCCCACCAAGGCGACGAUCGGUAGCCGGC
rnacentral:rRNA from 1 species